GGAAGUUCCGCAAGGCACAGAAAUCCCAGGUCAGAUCUCUGCCUCGGCCCCUUCAGGAAAUCCUGUCACUCACUCAGGACUUAUAUACAGCUCAGAGUGGCCAACUCCACUGAGCUCCUGUGGUUAGUCUGUCUGGCCUUACCUGCCUUCCCUUCCUAACUAGGGAAAGGAAAAGAUUUAAAGUAGAUACCACCGACAUGAGAAAGAACUCUCCAGGCAAUCAUCAAAGAAGUUAAAAUAGUUGGAUCCCCCUGAGGAGAGCCUGGCAUAGAAAGGAGCAAGCUUUUCACCAGCAUGCCGCUGCCUUUAAUCCCUGUCUUCCUGGGGUUGCUUGUGCAAAACGCCUGCUCCCCAACAGAAGCCCCAGAACCGGCAAAAAGAUGUGAUAAGAAGUCUACCCUAACCAUCAGGACAGAAUGCCAAUCCUGCUCCGCCAACUUUGCAGUCAAGUGUCCAGAUGGCUACAUCAAGGUUACGAAUGGCUCUAUCGGGGUUCGAGAUUGCAGGUAUUCGCUUGACAUCCAGUCAUACGUUCUGGCUAUCCCUGGAUGCCGCCAUAUUUGUAGGAAGGAUUACCUACAACCUCAAUGUUGUCCAGGACACUGGGGCCCAGACUGCAUGGAAUGCCCAGGAGGAGCAAGGGCACCGUGUGGUGGCAAGGGCGUUUGUGCUGAGGGCAUGGAUGGAACGGGAAGAUGCUCCUGCCAAGCAGGCUUUCGUGGAACAGCCUGUGAAGCCUGUGCUGCUGAGAACGUUUUUGGGCCCAAUUGUUCAGCAGUGUGCAAUUGUGUCCACGGUGUAUGCAACAGCGGAAUGAAUGGUGACGGGACUUGUGAGUGCUUGUCUGCAUACAGGGGACCCAGGUGUGACAAGCCCAUCCCCGAGUGUGCAACCUUGCUCUGCCCAGAAAACUCCAGAUGCUCACCUUCCAGCAAAGAUGAAACAAAACUCCAAUGCAAAUGCCUUCCCAGUUACGAAGGGGAUGGCCAGAACUGCAAGCCCAUCAACCCAUGUUUAAAAAACGUCUGCCACCCUCAUGCCAGUUGUUCCUACCUGGGACCAAAUCGGCACAGUUGUGUAUGCCAAAAAGGCUACCAAGGAGACGGUCAAGUGUGUCUGCCAGUGGACCCCUGCCAAACCAACUAUGGAGACUGCCCUACAAAGUCUACAGUGUGCAAAUACGAUGGGCCUGGACAGUCUCACUGCGAGUGUAAAGAACAUUACCGCAAUUUUGUACCAGGAGUUGGGUGCAGUAUGACCGACAUCUGUGAAUCAAAGAACCCAUGUCAUAAGAAUGCAAACUGCAGCACAGUCUCACCAGGCCAAACACAAUGCACUUGCCAGAAAGGCUAUGUGGGCGACGGCCUGAACUGCUAUGGAAACAUCAUGCAGAGACUCAGAGAAUUAAAUACUGAACCCAGAGGAGUGUGGCAAGGACAGCUGACCUCUUUCAUCUCGAUACUCGACAGAACUUAUGCCUGGCCACUGAGCAGCCUGGGACCCUUCACUGUGCUGCUGCCCUCAGACAAAGGACUAAAAGAGCUUGAUGUAAAGGAGCUCUUGAUGGACAAAGAGGCUGCUCGGUACUUUGUGAAGCUCCACAUCGUGGCUGGGCAAAUGAGCACGGAGCAGAUGUAUAACUCAGACAUCUUCUACACCUUGACGGGAAAGUCGGGGGAAUUCAACAACGAUAAGGACAAUCAAUUACAGCUCAAACUUUAUGGAAGCAAAACAGUGAAAAUUAUCCAGGGGAACAUAGUUGCCUCAAAUGGGCUUGUGCACAUCCUCGACAGAGCCAUGGACAAGAUAGAGCCCACAUUUAAGAGCAACCCCCAGCAAACCAUUAUGACGAUGCUACAACCAAGAUAUGGCAAGUUCAGAUCUUUGCUGGAGAAAACCGAUGUUGGACAAGCCCUAGAGGAAGGUGGUACUGGAGGACCAUACACCAUUUUUGUUCCAAGUAAUGAAGCAUUGAGUAACAUGAAGGCUGGCAUCCUCGACUACCUUCUUUCUCCAGAGGGCUCUCGGAAGCUUCUGGAACUUGUCAGAUACCACAUUGUUGCAUUUACACAGCUGGAAGUGACCACUCUGGUUUCAACACCUCACAUCAGGAGCAUGGCCAACCAGAUCAUCAAGUUUAACGUAACCAGCAAAGGGCAGAUUCUGGCAAACAACGUGGCUGUGGACGAAACCGAGGUCGCUGCCAAAAACGGCCGAAUUUACACACUGAGCGGAGUUCUCAUUCCUCCCUCCAUCCUGCCGAUCCUUCCCCACCGAUGCAAUGAAACAAAGAGGGAGUUGCAACUGGGCACUUGCGUCAGCUGUUCCAUGAAACAUUGGAGCAAAUGUCCUACUGACUCAGAGCCCACGGCAAUCUUCACACACAAAUGUUUCUACGGCAGCAGAACACGGAACCUGAAAAGUGGCUGUGCCCGAUAUUGUAAUGUGACUCUGGAGAUACCAAGAUGCUGUAAAGGUUUCUUCGGGCCUGACUGCCACCCAUGUCCAGGAGGUUUCAUGACUCCGUGUUCUGGAAAUGGGCAGUGCAUAGAUGGCCUCGGUGGCAACGGGACCUGCAUUUGUGAGGAUGGCUUCCAAGGUUCCAUGUGUCAGUUCUGCUCUGACCCCAACAGAUACGGACCUCGCUGUAACAGAACCUGCCCAUGUGUUCAUGGAACAUGUGAUAACAGACUGGACAGCGAUGGAGCCUGCCUGUCAGGAACAUGCCGAGAGGGCACGGCUGGGAGGUUCUGCGACAAGCAAAUGUCAGCCUGUGGGCCCUAUGUGCAUUUCUGUCACAUCCAUGCCACCUGUGAAUACAGAGGUGACACAGCCAGCUGUGUCUGCAAUGAGGGCUAUGAAGGAGAUGGAACUCUCUGUUCUAAGAAGGACCCUUGCCUGGAAUUGAUCUCCAGAAGAGGCUGUAGUCCUAAUGCAGAAUGCACCCAAACUAGCAUGGGGACAUACAGCUGUGUGUGCCAGCGGGGCUGGACAGGGAACGGAAGAGACUGUGUGGAGAUCAACAACUGCCUGUUGCCUAGCUCUGGUGGCUGCCACGACAAUGCCACCUGUUUAUAUGUAGGCCCUGGGCAGAAUGAAUGUGAGUGCAAGAAAGGAUUUCGAGGAAACGGGGUUGAUUGUGAACCGGUCAUUUCAUGCUUGGAACAAACAGAGAAAUGUCACCCUCUGGCCACCUGUCAGUCUACUCCGUCUGGUGUUUGGAGCUGUGUUUGCCAAGAGGGCUAUGAAGGGAAUGGUGUCCUGUGCUAUGGAAAUGUGCUCACGGAAUUGUCAUUUCUCUCUGAAGCGGCUGCGUUUUACCAGUGGAUAAAUAAUGCUUCCCUGCAGUCUAUGCUGGCUGCCACCUCCAAUCUCACUGUCCUUGUGCCAUCCCAGCAAGCCAUUGAGAACAUGGACCAGACUGAGAAAAGCUUCUGGUUGUCACGGAACAAUAUUCCAGCCUUGAUAAAAUACCACAUACUACGAGGCACAUACGGAGUGGCUGAUCUGCAGACCCUGUCAUCCUCUCACAUGCUAGCGACGUCCCUUCAGGGAAGCUUCCUUCACCUGGACAAGGCAGAUGGGAAUAUCACAAUUGAAGGGGCAUCCAUUGUGGACGGUGACAAUGCAGCCACAAAUGGGGUGGUCCAUAUCAUCAACAAGGUACUGGUCCCCCAAAGAGGUCUAACUGGCUCCUUGCCAAAUCUACUCACCCGUCUGGAGCAGAUGCCUGACUAUUCCAUCUUCCGAGGCUAUAUCAUUCAAUACAAUCUGGCAAGUGCAAUCGAGGCUGCAGAUGCUUACACUGUGUUUGUGCCAAACAAUGAAGCCAUUGAAAAUUAUAUCAGGGAGAAGAAAGCCACCUCUCUAAAGGAAGACAUUCUUCGGUACCAUGUGGUCCUGGGAGAAAAACUCCUGAAGAAUGACUUGCACAACGGCAUGCACCGAGAGACCAUGCUGGGGUUCUCCUACCUCCUUGCCUUCUUUCUCCAUAAUGACCAGCUGUAUGCCAAUGAAGUUCCAAUAAACUACACCAAUGUGGCCACUGACAAAGGAGUGAUCCAUGGUCUGGAGAAAGUUCUGGAAAUUCAGAAGAAUAGAUGUGACAAUAAUGACACCACUAUUGUGAGAGGUAAAUGUGGAAAGUGUCACCAGCCAGCAUUCUGCCCACUCGAGACAAAACCAUUUAGCGAGCCGAGGAAAUGCAUCUAUUCCAUUUACUUCAUGGGGAAGAGAUCUGUAUUCAUUGGAUGCCAGCCACAGUGUGUGAGAACCAUCAUUACAAGAGCAUGCUGUGCUGGCUUCUUUGGCCCACAGUGCCAACCCUGCCCUGGGAAAGGUCAGAAUGUGUGCUCUGGGAAUGGCUUCUGUCUGGACGGCAUGAAUGGCACUGGUACAUGUGAGUGCGGGCAGGGCUUCAGUGGGACAGCCUGUGAGACCUGCACAGAGGGGAAGUAUGGUGUGCACUGCGACCAAGCAUGCUCUUGUGUCCAUGGGAGAUGUAACCAAGGUCCCUCUGGAGACGGCACCUGUGACUGUGAUGUCGGCUGGCGAGGAGUGAAGUGUGACAGCGAGAUCACAACAGACAACUGCAAUGGGACCUGCCACACCAGUGCCAACUGCCUUCUCGAUCCAGAUGGUAAAGCCUCGUGCAAAUGUGCAGCUGGAUUCCGAGGCAAUGGAACAGUCUGCACAGCCAUCAAUGCCUGUGAGAUCAGCAAUGGAGGCUGCUCUGCCAAGGCUGACUGUAAAAGAACCACCCCAGGAAGCCGGGUGUGUGUGUGCAAGGCAGGCUAUACCGGUGACGGCAUCGUGUGCCUCGAAAUCAACCCGUGUUUGGAGAACCACGGCGGCUGUGACCGGCAUGCAGAGUGCACUCAGACAGGCCCCAACCAGGCCGUCUGUAACUGUCUGCCGAAGUACACUGGAGAUGGAAAGGUCUGCACGCUCAUCAACAUCUGCUUAACUAAUAAUGGCGGCUGCAGUCCCUUUGCCAUCUGCAAUUACACGGAAGAAGAUCAGAGGAUAUGUACCUGCAAGCCAAACUACACAGGGGAUGGAAUCAUCUGCCGUGGCAGCAUCUAUGGGGAACUUCCUAAGAACCCCUCAACGUCCCAGUAUUUCUUCCAGUUACAGGAGCAUGCUGUCCAAGAACUUGCUGGACCUGGCCCCUUCACUGUGUUUGCACCUUCAUCUAACUCCUUCGAUCAAGAGCCCAGGAUUAAAGACUGGGAUCAGCAGGGCCUCAUGUCCCAGGUUCUUCGGUAUCACGUGGUGGCCUGCCAGCAGCUGCUGCUGGAAAACCUAAAAGAGGUCACAAAUGCCACAACCCUCCAAGGAGAGCCAAUUUCCAUCUCUGUCUCUCAGGAUACCGUGUUCAUAAACAAUAAGGCGAAGGUCCUGUCCAGUGACAUCAUCAGUACCAACGGAGUCAUCCACAUCAUAGACAAGUUGUUGUCUCCCCAAAACUUGCUUAUCACCCCUAAAGAUGCCUUAGGCAGGGUUCUGCAAAACCUUACUACAGUGGCAACAAACCAUGGAUAUACCAGAUUCAGCAAGUUGAUACAGGACUCGGGCUUGCUGAAAGUCAUCACAGACCCCAUGCACACCCCAGUCACUCUCUUCUGGCCUUCCGACAAAGCCCUCCAAGCCUUGCCCCCAGAGCAGCAGGACUUCCUGUUCAAUGAAGACAACAAGGACAAGCUGAUGGCAUACCUGAAGUUUCAUGUGAUCCGAGACACCAGGGCUUUACCUUCAGACCUGCCCAGGUCAGCUUCCUGGAAGACCCUGCAGGGUUCAGAGCUGAGUGUGAGGUGUGGAACUGGCAGCGACAUUGGUGAGCUCUUUCUAAAUGGACAAAUGUGCAGGAUCGUACAGCGGGGUCUCUUGUUUGACGUGGGUGUGGCCUAUGGUAUUGACUGCCUGCUAAUGGAUCCUACCCUAGGUGGCCGAUGUGACACUUUUACUACCUUCAGUAUUACGGGGGAGUGUGGGAGCUGUAUCACCACUCCCAGAUGCCCACUCCAGAGCAAACCAAAGGGUGUGAGGAAGAAGUGUAUCUACAACCCAUUACCUUUCAAGAGGAGUGUGGAAGGCUGCCAGAACCUGUGCACCCUGGUGGUCCAAAUCCCCAGGUGCUGCAGUGGUUACUUCAUGCCGGACUGUCAAGCCUGCCCUGGAGGACCAGACACACCGUGUAAUAACCGGGGCACGUGCUUUGAUAUGUACACACCUACAGGACCGUGCCUAUGCCACACCGGUUUCAACGGGACAGCCUGCGAGCUCUGCUGGCCUGGGAGAUUUGGGCCUGACUGUCAACCCUGCGGCUGCUCCGAGCAUGGGCAGUGUGACGAGGGGAUCACAGGCUCUGGACAGUGCCUCUGUGAAGCAGGGUGGACAGGCCGCUUCUGUGACACUCCCACAGUUGUGAUCCCAGAGUGCAUACCUGCUUGUUCCGUGCACGCCACAUGUAUGGAGAAUAACACGUGUGUCUGUGACUUGAAUUACGAAGGUGAUGGACUCACGUGCACAGUCGUGGACUUCUGCAAACAGAACAACGGGGGCUGUGCAAAGGUCGCCAAGUGCUCCCAGAAGGACACACAAGUCUCUUGCAGAUGUCAGAAGGGCUACAAGGGGGAUGGCUACAGCUGCACGGAGAUAGACCCCUGUGCAGACGGUGUCAACGGUGGAUGUCAUGAGCACGCCACCUGCAGGAUGACUGGCCCAGGCAAGCGUAAGUGUGAAUGUAAAAGUCACUAUGUCGGGGACGGACAGGACUGUGAACCCGAACAGCUGCCCCUUGACCGCUGCCUACAGGACAACGGACAGUGCCACCCAGAUGCUAACUGUGCAGACCUUCACUUCCAGGACACUACUGUCGGCGUGUUCCACCUACGCUCCCCACUGGGCCAGUACAAGCUGACAUUUGACAAAGCCAAAGAGGCCUGUGCCAACGAAGCUGCGUCCAUAGCUACCUACAACCAGCUCUCCUAUGCUCAGAAGGCCAAGUAUCACCUCUGCUCAGCUGGCUGGCUGGAGAAUGGGCGGGUUGCCUACCCCACAACCUAUGCCUCUAAGAAAUGUGGUGCCAAUGUUGUUGGGAUUAUAGACUAUGGAUCCAGGGCCAACAAGAGUGAAAUGUGGGACGUCUUCUGUUACCGGAUGAAAGAUGUGAACUGCACCUGCAAGCCAGGCUAUGUGGGAGACGGCUUCUCGUGCAGUGGGAACCUGCUGCAAGUCCUUAUGUCCCUCCCCUCGCUCAAGAACUUCCUGACAGAGGUGCUGGCUUUUUCCAAGAGCUCAGCCCGAGGCCAGGCAUUUUUGAAACACCUAACUGACCCAUCCAUCAGUGGCACUCUGUUUGUGCCACAGAACAGUGGGUUACUGGAAAAUAAGAGCCUGUCUGGGCGGGACAUCGAGCAGCACCUCACUAAUGUCAAUGGCUUUUUUUACGAUGACCUUGUCAAUGGUACCAUCCUGAGGACUAGCCUGGGAAGCCAACUGCUCAUUACCUCCAGCCAGGACCAGCUCCACCAAGAGACCAGGUUUGUGGAUGGAAGAGCCAUUCUGCAGUGGGACAUCAUUGCCUCCAAUGGCCUCCUCCAUAUCAUUUCUGAGCCUUUGAAAGCCCCUCCCUCAGCAGCAAUGGCUGCCCACUCUGGCCUGGGAACAGGCAUAUUCUGCGCUGUCGUCCUGGUCACUGGUGCGAUUGCUCUGGCUGCCUACUCCUACUUCCGGCUAAACCAGAGAACAAUUGGCUUCCGGCGUUUUGAGUCAGAAGAUGACAUUGAUGUCUUGGCUUUUGGCAAGCAGCAGCCUGAGAGUAUCGCAAACCCUUUGUAUGAGACCUCAACGCCGGCACCCCCCGAGCCCUCCUGUUACCCCUUCACAAAACGGGGAAGCAGUAUUGAGAAGCACACAGGCAACAUCAAGCAGCAAAACUUGAAGCAUGGAUGGGCCCAGCAUAAGCAGCCCUGAUCAGCACCCAGCCCCCACACACCCAGCUCCCACAUGAGGCGGCAGCACGACGGGAGGCUCCUGAGGCAAGGCAUGCUUUAGGCCCGCCCAGCCCUGUAUGAAGCAGCAUCAUGAGCAAAGGACUCUGGAGAACAAGAGCUGGAGAACAGCGACCCGCUGGGGGCACUGAGGUCCUGAUGUGAUAAGCCAGCCACAUGAGCCCCGAGCCAUCAUGGUUCCCCAGUGAAUCCCCAGCCCCAGCAAUCUCUUGGGUCAUUUGUUUUAAAGUAUAAUAACACUCAGAAGCCAUACCUCACCCCUAUGGUUAAUCUGGGGCUGUCACCAUGGGUAAGGGGCCAUGUUGCCUGGAUACCCAGGGGACCUCCACCUUCUCUGGGGCUCCACUGUGGUUUUCUGCACAUUCCAGAUGGUGCUUGAUGGUGAUUUCUGCCCUAUCCUGUGGGCAGCUGUGACCUUGUGGUAUUCUCCUAUCGACUGUACGCACCAAGGCAGGGCUUCGCCUCAUAUGUUCUAUAUCCCAGUACCCAGAAGUACCUGCCACACCGGUGCACUCAAUAAAUGUUUUGGGAACAAAAAAAGUCACUGUGUACCUAGGAAGUGUCAAACAAUGAAAGCAAAAUACACUCACCAGGCUCAUUAGAGCCCUUCCAAUUGGCCAACA